AAGUUAAUCCCUCCGUUCCGAAUUAGUUGUCUUAGAUUUAUCUAGAUACAAAUGUAUCUAGAAGUGUUAGACACAUCUGUAUCUAGACAAAUCUAAGACAACUAAUUUGGGAUGGAGGUAAUAUUAU
rfam:Triticum aestivum genome assembly, contig: Triticum_aestivum_CS42_TGACv1_scaffold_434383_5DL